GUCUAUGGCCAUGCCACCCUGAACAAGCCCGAUGUCUGAUCUUGGAAGCUAAGCAGGGUCUGGCCUGGUUAGUGCUUGGACAGGAAAUCACCUAGGAAGACCAGGCGCUGUAGGCA
rnacentral:rRNA from 1 species